rnacentral:tRNA from 1 species
GAAAGUAUAGCUCAGUGGCAGAGCAUGUGCUUAGCAUGCGCAAGGUCCUGGGUUCAAUCCCCAGCACCUCCA